AGAUUUCUCCACAGGUUGUGCCCACCCGGCCGCCUGAUACUUUCGUCUCAACCUCGCUGUCAGAAUGUCGUAGGUGAGCAAAGUUUCAGGUGUGCCGGAACACACCCAUACUUUGCUCUGUUGUU
rnacentral:precursor_RNA from 14 species